GGCCAGGUAGCUCAGAUGGUAGAGCAGGGGACUGAAAAUCCCCGUGUCGGCGGUUCAAGUCCGUCUCUGGCCACCA
rnacentral:tRNA from 1 species